UGACAAUGUCUUAGGCAAUUA
rnacentral:piRNA from 1 species